GCGUAUGAAUACGAACUAUUUUCGCCCUAACGUCAUUUUACCGCAAUCGCCAUUGUUUACAAGUUCAUCCGUGAAAGAUUGAGAAGUUUAUAUAGAAGUUCCACGUGUUAAAACGAGUUGUUUGUGAAUAAAGGCUUGUUUGUUAGAUUUCAAUUGUGGCUCAGUUGGUUGUUUGCUGAGAAGCUGUGAAACAUAAUUAUACAGGCCAUUAAGGAGGUUUUUGUCAGAUUGAUGAAUGUGAAAAUAAGAGGACCCAUUUUGAGAAUGCUUUUUAUGAAUGGAAUCAAGAGAGAUAAAGUCUAAAAUGUGAUACUGUCAAUGUGACUAACCUUGAAGUAAACAGAUGACACAAUGUUUUUUCAAUGUCAUGGGCAUAUAAUGAAGAGAAAACAGAGAUGCUUGUUUGACAGAUACAGUAAUAGUAGGAGUUAUGAGGGAAGAUAGAUUGCAGUGAUAACUAUAUUGAGGCACCACUUCAUCACCAAGAACAUGAAAUGAAUUAUCAAUGUUUUCAAUGUGUUUGAACACCCAUUUUAAAUAAUACAGCUCAGAGUGAA